rnacentral:piRNA from 1 species
UCCGGGGUUCCAUGGGGCU